rnacentral:rRNA from 1 species
UACGUAGGGUGCGAGCGUUACUCGGAAUUACUGGGCGUAAAGCGUGCGCAGGCGGCGCGUUAAGACAGGUGUGAAAGCCCCGAGCUUAACUUGGGAAUUGCGCUUGUGACUGGCGUGCUGGAGUGUGGCAGAGGGAGGUGGAAUUCCACGUGUAGCAGUGAAAUGCGUAGAGAUGUGGAGGAACACCGAUGGCGAAGGCAGCCUCCUGGGCCAGCACUGACGCUGAGACGCGAAAGCGUGGGGAGCGAACAGG